rnacentral:rRNA from 1 species
CCUACGGGCGGCAGCAGUGGGGAAUAUUGCACAAUGGGGGAAACCCUGAUGCAGCGACGCCGCGUGAGUGAAGACGUAACUCGUUAUGUAAAGCUCUAUCAGCAGGGAAGAAAAUGACGGUACCUGAGCAAGAAGCCCCGGCUAACUACGUGCCAGCAGCCGCGGUAAUACGUAGGGGGCAAGCGUUAUCCGGAUUUACUGGGUGUAAAGGGAGCGUAGACGGGAGUGCAAGUCUGGAGUGAAAGGCGGGGGCUCAACCCCCGGACGGCUGUUGAAACUGGACGGCUGGAGUGCAGGAGAGGUACGUGGAAUGCGUAGUGUAGCGGUGAAAUGCGUAGAUAUUAGGAAGAACACCAGUGGCGAAGGCGGCUUACUGGACUGUGACUGACGUUGAGGCUCGAAAGCGUGGGGAGCGAACAGGAUUAGAUACCCGGGUAGUC